rnacentral:lncRNA from 1 species
UUGAUCCAAAAUGGUGAUCCUGUUGAGCUAGAUGAGAAUAAUGAGGAUCCGAUCACUUACAUGAAUGUUAUGUAGAGAUCCGACUCAAAAAAAUAAUUUGAAGCCAUGAAAUCUGAGAUGGAGUCCAUGGAGAUCAUUAGUAUAUGAACAAUAGUUGAUCCACCCGAAGGGAUAAAGGAUGUAGAUGGAUUUUCAAAAAAAAAAGAGGUACAGAAGGGAUGGUGG